CAAAUUUAAAGCUGCAGUAUCGAUUGAAGAAUCAAUCAUAAUAACGAGUUUAACGAUUAAUCCUAAUUCCUAUAAUUAUAAAAAUUAUUCUUCGAAUUUAAUUUUCAAACAGUACGGAAUUUUUUUUUUUAACAACGACAAAAUUUUCCACGUCUUUUGAAAAUCGUUGGCAACGCGGUUGAUAUUGCAAUAUGCAUUUUCAACGAUAGAACCAUGUCGUUAUUAAACAUUAUGAACAUAAUGGGCAUCAGAGCCGACAAUGAAACGUGCCAAUAUAGUGAGCAACUGGGCACGAAACGGACAAUCACUGCUGAGCAUAGAACACUAGAAACGACGCACAAAGGGGCUUGCAUCAGAGGGGGUUGUUGGCACUUCACGUGAUUCGGAAUAUAGUCUCGUUAAAUUAGAAAUUUCUGAAAUAAAAGAAUCACGAGGAAUUGAAAGUAUCAAUACCAGAAACUUUCAUAUUCGGAUGGUAAAGACAUUAGCAUUUUGGAGUUCCAAAGAUUUUACGACACCGAUAACAAAAUGAGGCAUUUUUUACGAAUAUUCUGAAAAUAAUUUAUUCAGCGGAUCUUUAUGAAACUUACGAAAGAAAAAUUGAAGGUUCGUAUACACGGGUUUCCACGUACAAUUUUGUAUUAAAAGAAAUUCAUUUGCUAUCACCAAAUAUCCAAUAAAAGACCCAGAAAAAGCCUCAUAAAGCUGCCUAAUACAUUAUUUUUAUUUUCAAUAAAUACGUAAAAAAAAGUCAGGUCGGCGAGUGAAGGAAUCAGAAAAGAAACACGUAGGAAUUAUCAUAGAAAAGAACAGAAACUAGACGAAAGACGCAGAAAUGUUGCGUAGCGGAAGGAAGUAGCGAAAGUAAGAAUUAUGACGGACAUCUUGUGUUGCAGUAAUCCGAGGGCUUUGUGCCGACGAUACAUCUUCUUAAGGUUUCCAACACAACACUCCAUACUUGACUCGUAUUCUUUUUCUCAAACUGUUUUCUUCCUGCACAAACAAAUUCUGAAACUCUCUAGCCCGUAGGCGUUCAACACAUUCACUGCCACGUUGUCCAUAUAUGGGUGAUAAAGAUGUUAACAACGAACGAACACAUACCGUAUUCAUUUGGCAAACAUGAAGACAGUAGCAACAUUCAUUAAUUGAUGCAAUUUCUAGGCAUACAGUGAACAACUCCAUUGUAGCAAACAUCUUAAUUUUUAGCCCAGUAACUUCCCUAAUUACAAAAGAUUUGAUUUUUUUUUCUGCUCCUUCCAGGAAUUGAACCUGGGUUUGCGCCGCCAGAGCCUGACACUUUGCGCGCUGGACCACACCGCUUUCUUGUGACCCAUUGUGCAGUCAAAGUAUUUAAGCUAUGUCGCGGAUGCAUACAAUCCUUAAUAGAUCGAAAACUAUUAGUUUGCGACUCCUACGUGUAUAAGUGAAAAUUAAUUGUUCCUUCGAGAUCUACGGGUACCUCUUGGUUUAAAGCUCAUCCAAUGUCAUGGCCUUCGACCUCGAAUUUUCCAUAAACGGACAAAUAUCUGUAUAAUUGCCCAAACAUGACUGAAUCUAAUAGUAUAUUCACAAAAAAUAGAAAUAGUUUUUGUCACUUUUGUGAAGAAGUUACAAUAGCCAUACAGAAAUACAACAAAGUUCACAGUGAAUAUAAUGGGGAUUAAUAAAUUUGAAUAAACCAAACCCAAUUAUUUGUUCUGCCGCGGUAAAAUAUCUUGUUGACCAAUUAAACGCACCGAGGGACGUUUCCUUGUAUGUUAUCAGAUAUAGCGGGCUUUGACCUGUUGAAAUCGCUGAUCGAAUGAGAGAUUAGCCUCUCAAGGAAGCGAUAAUACGUUGCUUCUGAUAAGCAACUGGUCCAACUUUUCGGGACACACCGAUUUAUUUUACGAAAGCAGGUUGUAUGAAUUACAAAUAAAUUGAUACUAUUCGAUAGUGUA